CUGAGAUCAUCGAGAUGCUGCUCCUGGAGCCAUUCUACAGGGACAUGUUGUGCUUCCCUGGCUGCUGCCUCCAGGGAAUGUCCCUCUUGGACCAUCAUCAACACAUUAUCUGCCUCAACCUGCACAAUGAUCAAGUAUCUCAUGACCAUCUUUGAGAACGAGGAAGAUCCACAGGAGCAUUCAACCAAGGUCACUUUGUGAGCUGCUGAAGAACUUCAAGCGCCCCGUCUCCUUGGAGAAGACCUGGAAGCUGCUGAUGGCUUGGCUGGGCCACCCCAGUCCAACCAUCCACCACCUGAGCAGGACAGGCCUUCUCCACCUCUGUGAAAACUA